ACCAGCGGCCGUAGCCGUGCAUGUCUACCGAUUCCCGUUCGAUCACCGAAGUCAAGAUGCACUGGGCGGCGUUCCGUAAGAAGGAUGGGUGACCGCUCUACAUCCGUCUCUGGAAGCCGCCCGUGCUGCUGGUU
rnacentral:rRNA from 1 species